rnacentral:lncRNA from 1 species
CCGCACAAGCGGAGGGGCAGGAGGAAGACCUAUCAUAGCCUCCUCUUAUGAAACCUUUUGUGCUGGGCCACUCCUGUACCCACGUGAUCUCACCUGAUCCUUACAACAGCCUUUCGAGUCUGGCACCCUUGGAUUCCCAGUUACAGAUGAGGACACAGGGGUCCAGAGAGGCUGAGACUUGCCUGGGGCCACACAGCAAGUCAGGCAUGGGGAUAGCAAGGACACCAGGCAGCUUGCCCUGCGGCCCAAACCCUCGUCUUUGUCCAGCCACUAGAGGACAAGAGCGUCAGGUGCCAGUUGUGUCGAGGAGAGACCCUGUGAGAGAGGCUGUGGGAAAAGCACAGUGCCUGGCACAAAGGGAGAGGUCUGAGUAAAAGUCAAGGUGGCUUCCUGGAGGAGGCCACUGUGCUCUCCGGCGGCAGGAGAAGCAGGAAUAGAAGGAGUUUCCGGAAAAGGAAGAGGGAGAAGCUGUGUUCAGCGCCUGCGCCGUGUGUGGAGUGCAAACUGUCUGCAGGAGCCGAAUCAUUGAAUCUUCCAGCAAUCCUGUACUCCAGCCAUCCCCAUUUUACAGAUGAGAAAACUGAGGCUGGGGGUGGAAAUAAUUUAUUCACUCAGGGAGUAAAAGCUGGAGCCAGAAUUUAAACCCAGCUGGCAAUGAUGCCCCCCUUCCCUCCCUCCUCGGGUCUUUACGGCAUCCUCAUGGUGUGCUGGAUUCACAGAGGGCAUUCCAGCUCGGACCUGCUCCAAGGCCAGGAGCGCAGAACACCAGCAGAGAGACGAGGUCUCGCUGUGUUGCCCAGGCCGGCCUCUAACUCCUGGGCUCAAAGGAUCCUCCUGCCUCAGCCUCCCAAAGUGCUGGGAUUACAGGUGUGAGCCACCGUGCCCGACCUAAUGAUAAUGUCAAUAAUAUCAAUAAUGUCAAUAAUAAUCAUAGCAACAGCAAAGUUUCUCUAGGGCUUAGUCUGUAUCAGACACAGUCUGAGGCUUUAUAUCGGGGUCCCCAACUCCUGGACUGGAGACAGGUACCCAUUCGUGGCCUGUUAGGAACCGGGCUGCACAGCAGGAGGUGAGCAGCAGACAAGCGAGCAUUACCGCCUGAACUCCGCCUCCUGUCAGAUCACCCACAUCAUUAGAUUCUCAGAGAAGUGCGAACCCUAUUGCAGAUUGCAUAUACGAGAGAUAUGCACAACACACAACCCCCCACACAACCCCCAGCCCCUUUCAGAUUGUCUUCCACGAAACCGGUCCCUGGUGCUAAAAAGGUUGGAGACCGCUGCUUUAUAUGGAUUAACUCAUUAACCCAGGGUGAAGUGAAC